rfam:Methanobacterium congolense isolate Buetzberg genome assembly, chromosome: I
GCGGGGUUACCCGAGUGGCCAAAGGGGGCAGGCUCAAGACCUGCUGGUGCAGACCUACCAGGGUUCGAAUCCCUGACCCCGCA